AUUGAACGCUAGCGGGAUGCUUUACACAUGCAAGUCGAACGGCAGCGCGGACUUCGGUCUGGCGGCGAGUGGCGAACGGGUGAGUAAUGUAUCGUAACGUGCCCAGUAGCGGGGGAUAACUACGCGAAAGCGUAGCUAAUACCGCAUACGCCCUACGGGGGCACGCAGGGGAUCGUAAGACCUUGCACUAUUUGACCGGCCGAUAUCGGAUUAGCUAGUUGGUGAGGUAACGGCUCACCAAGGCGACGAUCCGUAGCUGGUUUGAGAGGACGACCAGCCACACUGGGACUGAGACACGGCCCAGACUCCUACGGGAGGCAGCAGUGGGGAAUUUUGGACAAUGGGGGCAACCCUGAUCCAGCCAUCCCGCGUGUGCGAUGAAGGCCUUCGGGUUGUAAAGCACUUUUGGCAGGAAAGAAACGGCGCGGGCUAAUACCCCGUGGAACUGACGGUACCUGCAGAAUAAGCACCGGCUAACUACGUG
rnacentral:rRNA from 1 species